rnacentral:rRNA from 1 species
GACGGAGGAUGCAAGCGUUAUCCGGAAUGAUUGGGCGUAAAGCGUCCGCAGGUGGCAGUUCAAGUCUGCUGUCAAAGACCGGGGCUUAACUUCGGAAAGGCAGUGGAAACUGAACAGCUAGAGUAUGGUAGGGGCAGAGGGAAUUCCUGGUGUAGCGGUGAAAUGCGUAGAUAUCUGGAGGAACACCGGUGGCGAAGGCGGCAUCCUGGACCGACACUGACACUGAGGAGCGAAAGCCAGGGGAGCAAACGGG